AAUGCAGGUCGGCGUCCCUCCCUUCCGCAUGUCCUCCGAGUCUGGCGGCUGCGCAUUUGGCCCAGUAAUCUGACUAAUCUGCUGAGAACAGGGCUUGUGGACAGCGGAAAAACUUGC